rnacentral:lncRNA from 1 species
UAAAAUUCCAAAGACAGGUGCCACUUUGGGACAUGCCAUGUUACAUAUCUAUAAAGUUUCAUUGGGAUUGAUGCUAUAUUCUUCAAGAAAAUGCAUCUUUAAUGUAUUUUCCCAUAGGGCCAAUGUUAAACUUUCGCCCUGUUUCCAUGACAAUGGCGGCCAUUUUGGAAUUUUCUUAUAUUGUCACAACAUCUAGGCAUACCAAGGAACAUUACCACUAAGUUUCAUCCAGGUAGGUCUUAUAAUGAAAGAUUUAAAAUUUGCAUUUUUUUUUCACAUUUUGAUCAGUUUCCAUGGCAACGGCGGCCAUUUUUACCAUUCCAAUGUCUCUUGCACAACUUAACAUGGCGGUUCAUAUUAUGGUAUAGUUCCAUCAACAUUGGUCUGACCAAUUCUGAGAAAUAGUAUGGACAAAAUGUGUGGAAGAAUAAAAAUAAUAACUAGAUUUGCCAUUGCAAGCAAUAGCGGAUGGCACCCUUCCCCUAUUGCCAGGUGAGCGGCAGCCAUUUUGAAAAUUCCAAAGUCAAAGAUUGCAUCUACAGAUGUGUAUUAACAUUGUUGUAAAGUUUCAUUAAUUUUGGAGCAUUUUGAAAUUUUUGAAAUUUUUGCUAUUUCCAUGGUAACGGGUACCAUUUCUAAAAUUCCAAAGACAGGUGCCACUUUGGGACAUGCCAUGUUACAUAUCUAUAAAGUUUCAUUGGGAUUGAUGCUAUAUUCUUCAAGAAAAUGCAUCUUUAAUGUAUUUUCCCAUAGGGCCAAUGUUAAACUUUCGCCCUGUUUCCAUGACAAUGGCGGCCAUUUUGGAAUUUUCUUAUAUUGUCA